GACGAACCGUGCGAACGUUGUUCGGAUUCACUGGGCUUAAAGGGCGCGUAGGCGGACGGUCAAGUCGGGGGUGAAAUCUUUCAGCUUAACUGGAAAAGUGCCUCCGAUACUGAUCGUCUCGAGGGAGGUAGGGGCAUGUGGAACUUCCGGUGGAGCGGUGAAAUGCGUAGAUAUCGGAAGGAACGCCGGUGGCGAAAGCGGCUUCCUGGUCCAGCACCGACGUUCAGGCACGAAAGCGUGGGGAGCAAACAGG
rnacentral:rRNA from 1 species